CCUACGGGGGGCAGCAGUGGGGAAUAUUGCACAAUGGGGGAAACCCUGAUGCAGCGACGCCGCGUGAGUGAAGAAGUAUUUCGGUAUGUAAAGCUCUAUCAGCAGGGAAGAAAAUGACGGUACCUGACUAAGAAGCCCCGGCUAACUCCGUGCCAGCAGCCGCGGUAAUCCGGAGGGGGCAAUCGUUAUCCGGAUUUACUGGGGGUAACGGGAGCGUAGACGGCCAGACAAGUCAGAAGUGAAAGCCACGGGCUCAACCCUGGGACUGCUUUUGAAACUGCCGGGCUGGAGUGCAGGAGAGGUAAGCGGAAUUCCUAGUGUAGCGGUGAAAUGCGUAGAUAUUAGGAGGAACACCAGUGGCGAAGGCGGCUUACUGGACUGUAACUGACGUUGAGGCUCGAAAGCGUGGGGAGCAAACAGGAUUAGAUACCCUUGUAGUC
rnacentral:rRNA from 1 species